UGGGGAAUAUUGCACAAUGGGCGCAAGCCUGAUGCAGCCAUGCCGCGUGUAUGAAGAAGGCCUUCGGGUUGUAAAGUACUUUUAGCGGGGCGGAAUGGAGUAAAGUUAAUACCUUUGCUCAUUGACGUUACCCGCAGAAGAAGCACCGGCUAACUCCGUGCCAGCAGCCGCGGUAAUACGGAGGGUGCAAGCGUUAAUCGGAAUUACUGGGCGUAAAGCGCACGCAGGCGGUUUGUUAAGUCAGAUGUGAAAUCCCCGGGCUCAACCUGGGAACUGCAUCUGAUACUGGCAAGCUUGAGUCUCGUAGAGGGGGGUAGAAUUCCAGGUGUAGCGGUGAAAUGCGUAGAGAUCUGGAGGAAUACCGGUGGCGAAGGCGGCCCCCUGGACGAAGACUGAAGCUCAGGUGCGAAAGCGUGGGGAGCAAACAGG
rnacentral:rRNA from 1 species